AGAGUUUGAUCCUGGCUCAGGAUGAACGUUGGCGGCGUGCCUAAUACAUGCAAGUCGAACGGUAGUUGAGCAUUCGUGCUUGAUGAGAGUGGCGAACGGGUGAGUAACACGUAACUGAUCUGCCCUUUAGACUGGGAUAACCUUUGGAAACAGAGGCUAAUACCGGAUGAGCUCGCGGUAGUUAGAGAGCCGUGAGGAAAGGCUAAUGCGCUAAGGGAUGAGGUUGCGGGCCAUCAGCUGGUUGGUGAGGUAAAGGCUUACCAAGGCGAUGACGGUUAGGGGACCUGAGAGGGUGGCCCCCCACACUGGGACUGAGACACGGCCCAGACUCCUACGGGAGGCAGCAGUAAGGGAUAUUGCACAAUGGACGGAAGUCUGAUGCAGCGACGCCGCGUGGGUGAAGAAGGUUAUCGGAUCGUAAAGCCCUUUUCUAUGUGACGAGAGAGGACGGUAGCAUAGGAAUAAGUGUCGGCUAACUACGUGCCAGCAGCCGCGGUAAAACGUAGGACGCGAACGUUAUCCGGAGUUACUGGGCGUAAAGCGCGCGUAGGCGGUUGGUUAAGUUACC
rnacentral:rRNA from 1 species